rnacentral:rRNA from 1 species
CCUACGGGUGGCAGCAGUGGGGAAUAUUGCACAAUGGGGGAAACCCUGAUGCAGCGACGCCGCGUGAGUGAAGAAGUAUUUCGGUAUGUAAAGCUCUAUCAGCAGGGAAGAAAAAAGACGGUACCUGACUAAGAAGCCCCUGCUAACUACGUGCCAGCAGCCGCGGUACUACGGAGGGGGCAAGCGUUAUCCGGGUUUACUGGGGGUAAAGGGAGCGUAGACGGCGCGGCAAGUCUGAAGUGAAAGGCAGGGGCUUAAACCCUGAACUGCUGUUGAAACUGCCAGGCUAGAGUGCUGGAGAGGUAAGUGGAAUGCGCAGUGUAGCGGUGAAAUGCGUAGAUAUUAGGAGGAACACCAGUGGCGAAGGCGGCUUACUGGAUAGUAACUGACGUUGAGGCUCGAAAGCGUGGGGAGCGAACAGGAUUAGAUACCCGUGUAGUC